rnacentral:rRNA from 1 species
UACGGAGGGGGCGAGCGUUGUUCGGAUUUAUUGGGCGUAAAGGGCGCGUAGGCGGAUUGGUAAGUCUGGUGUGAAAUCUUCACCGCUCAACGGGAAGACUGCACUAGAAACUGCCAAUCUUGAGUGCGAGAGAGGCGAGUGGAAUUCCUGGUGUAGCGGUGGAAUGCGUAGAUAUCAGGAAGAACACCGGUGGCGAAGGCGACUCGCUGGAUCGCAACUGACGCUGAGGCGCGAAAGCCAGGGGAGCGAACGGGAUUAGAUACCCGCGUA